ensembl:lncRNA novel transcript
UUACUUUCUUGCAUCAUACCUCAUUUACCUCUUUCUCUUCUUUAUGUCUGUCUCUGGGAUCUCAGGGCCCCACACUGGCAUGAAAUAAAGGUGUUUUUUAUGCAUAACUCAUAUGAUAAUAAUAACAACAACAAGAUUUUACUGUCUCCUAUCCCUUUAUGGGAGUACACUAUGCAAUACCUCUAUGAGGUGCCAUCUUAAAUUGUUUAGAUGUACCAUCUUAAAUGGUUUACCCUUAGCAAAGGGCACCUACACCUUUGAUUUUAUCUUUUCCUGUGCUAAGAGUGCACAAACUUUUCUUAUACAGAGUCAGGAAAGGCUUUGGGGUCCUAUAUCUUCUCUGUCACAUUUACUCAAAUGUGUCUUUCUAGGGAGAAGGCAUCCAAUAAACAAUAUGUAAACCAAGGAGCAUAGUUCUGCUUCAACAAAACCUUCUCUGUACAAAAGCAAAAGGCAGACUAGAUUUGCUCCAUGGGUCAUAGUUUGCUCUUCUCCCCAAACUAGUUUAUACUUUGAGAAUCCCUUAUCAUAUUGAAAGACAAGAACUGAAGGAAAUACUUUUAUUUUUUAACCCGGUAAGCCCUAUUUUUUAAAUUCCAUUAAAUUAUGAUGAUAAAAUUAGUAAUUUUUGUUGCCAUUGUUUUGUUUUAGCUCUCUGUCUCUGCACAUUAUUAUGAGUUAUUAAAAUAAGUCAGUUAACACUUUCAACAUCUUGUCUGGAAAAUAUCCUGCCAAUAUCCACAAAUUUAUUUUGUGUGUUUUUUAAAUUAAUUUGUCAUGUUAUCGUAGGCACUUUACCAAUUGUUUUGCUACUCUAUGACUCAGUUGACCACUUUGCCAGUUUGCUAUGGCAGUUUUGUCACCAUUAUACUACAUUAUACUAACUAAGAAGCUAAUAGUUUCCCUGCUGCUUUUCCAGCAUUUGCUCAAAGCUUCCUGACCUCCCAAAGUCAAUCUUACAUAUUUUAGACUUUAACCCAUCUACUCACCGAAGAUUAGUUUUCUCCAGAGAAAAACAGAUAAAAGCAUUCUGCAAAGUAAUAGAAAUCCACUGUUCUUGUUUUGGGAGAGGGCCUUCUACAGACUUUCAUUAAUAUUAUUUAGCCUGUUAUGACAGGGGAAAUCUCAAGGAAAAUAAGACCUAUUCUCCUUCAAUGAAAACAAACAAAUGAAAAAAAAAAAACCCACAACUCUCUUUUAGCUGGUGACAUCAGGACAAAUCUCAACACAUACAUACACACAUACACAGAUAAACACACAUGCUUUUGGUGUGUAUGUGUGUAGAAAAGCUCCAGCAGUCUCAGCAAAGUAUAUGCAUACUCUUUUCAUACUCCCUGAAGAGGGAAAUUUUAAAAAAUAGCAAUAUAAUAGACAUUUUUAUACAGCUAGAUCUGCAGGAAGAAAUGCGUCAAACUGCAAUAAUGACGCGUAGCAAGAGUGACUAAAAGAAGUAUCCAGUGGUCAGGUUCACAGGCAACCACAGACAGAGGUAAAAAUCUCUGAUGGGAGAAUCUUUACAAAAUUGGUCAUCACGUUUGCAUUAGGGCAUUGAAAUUCAUGUCAGCAGAGUGACUCUCAUAAAAACAUUGUAUUUUUUCUCUAGAUAGAUAAACUUUCAUCACAAAUUCCCUGGUUGUGUCCCCGUUCAUGCCAGUUGUUCUAGCAUUAUGGUUGGUAAUAAUGGCACUUUUAUUCCCAAAGUAUUUGGAUGAUAAAUUAUAUGGGUACCCAACCCUUAGGCUACAUCUGCUUCCUUAACAUAGAAAAUCACUGACUUUCUCACAUAUUAAUAAUUUUCAGGUGGAUAAUGAUGUAUUUCCCCUGCAUAUCACAUUAUUAAUGUCUAAAUAGGAAAAAAUUCAGCAGCUGUCAAUGUCUAAUAAGUUGAUCACAGUGGCCAGGAAAUGUUGAUGGAAUGGUUAAAUACAUAAAAGUCGUGCAUUAUUAUUACUGCUGUUCAGUGUAUUUUCAGUGUUUGAGCCAAGUACUACAAAA